UGGUGGGCCCACUAGGACUUGAACCUAGGACCAACGGAUUAUGAGUCCGCUGCUCUGACCAACUGAGCUAUGGGCCC
rnacentral:tRNA from 2 species